CACCCGAGUUUAAUUUGGGGUAUCCGGAAGUGCCGAGGGGGCCUUUGCAUGCUUAGGGCUGAGCUCAGCUUCGGCCGCGGGGUCCGGCACCCACAAACCUGGGGACGGGGGAGAGCGGCUUCACUUGUAGGGUGAAACAUUAAUUAGUCUUCAGACAUGCGGUAAAGUUUUGGAGUUGGUCAAAUGAAUCUUCCUUUAAUCAGCAAUAGAGGCUUUGGGAGGAGCGGUUGGUUGCUAAGCCUUAAAAAGUCAUUUUUACAGGUAUAGAAGAGUCAGAAACCUUACGUUGGCUGUACCUCAUUAUGGCACAAGUGCUCUCCCAGCUCUCGCUGCGGACGGACGCGAGUUUACACGGACGGAGAGAAACCCAAAGGAACAUGAAAAGGCUGAGCCCCCUCUUCAAGUGGACUUGACAAUCCUGCCGGAAUGACCUUCCCGUUUCAUGCCUAGGAAGAAGCCUUCCUCCCCAUCCCGCAGGGCUCGGAGUCAGCAGAGAGGGAGGAAGAGGGAGAAAGGAGAAUCCUGCACACGGUAGAGUCAUGUAAGUAGAAAGCGUGGGUUGGAUUACUAUCACUGAAACUAUUUUACUAUUACUAUAUUCCUAUUAUAGAGGCUGAAAUGCGGGGAUUUAUUCCAUAAGCCUUCGAGCCGACGAGGAUUUCUCUGCGCUAAACUGGAGCCCAAAUCCCCGGGUCCAUGGCGCAGGUCGGUGGAUUUAUUCAUAUAGAGAAAUAAAGAAGUGAUGCUAAUGAUGAAGAGCCGAACCAAUUAUUACAAAAUAAGAGUCAAAACUCCCAGCAGAGAAAGAGGCGGGUGGAGUAGGGGAAUACGAAGAACGCGGCUUUCCCUCCGAUCUGUUUUAAAAGAGAGCUUCAGGGUUUUUGGAAGACGGAGCAUGGAAUUCUGAUGGAAAAAAAAUAAAGAAGAGGGAAGAAAAACGAGUCUGCUCGCUCUCCGAAAGGAGCCGGGCUAACAGUUUGCUACACAGGCGUCGGCAGCUGAGGAAGAGGAUAAAGCAUCCUCAAGGAAGAAGAGGACAAAGUAUUCUCGGGAAGCUACGUGUGGGAAAUUAUAGAGAACCGACACGUUAGGAAAA